GACGAACGCUGGCGGCGUGCUUAACACGUGCAAGUCGAACGGAAAGGCCCUGCUUUUGUGGGGUGCUCGAGUGGCGAACGGGUGAGUAACACGUGAGUAACCUGCCCUUGACUUUGGGAUAACUUCAGGAAACUGGGGCUAAUACCGGAUAGGAGCUCCUGCUGCAUGGUGGGGGUUGGAAAGUUUCGGCGGUUGGGGAUGGACUCGCGGCUUAUCAGCUUGUUGGCGGGGUAGUGGCUUACCAAGGCUUUGACGGGUAGCCGGCCUGAGAGGGUGACCGGACAUCGUGUGACUGGGGGACGCCCCACGCGCGUACGGGGGGCGAGAGGGGGGAAGAGGGAGCGAUGGGGGGGAGCGGGCGCGCGCCAGGCCGGGCGGCGGCCGGCGGCCUGCGGUUUGUAGCCCGCUUGCGCGUGGGGCGGGGGGGGGGUGACGGGAAGGGGUAAAGGAGCACCGGGAAAACACGUGCAAGCAGCCGGGGUAAUACGAGGCGGAGCCAACCUCUGACC
rnacentral:rRNA from 1 species